GAGAGAGGAGAAACAACAGUGACGUUAGGCUGUAAUUUUGAUUUUAGAUUUCUUUGCAAACUAAGUUUUGGUUUAUAUUGAUGAGGGCAAUCGGAUUUGUGUGGUUCCUAUUGAUAGUUUAAUAUUUAAGAGGGCUGAAAUGGAUGCGGGGGCUCCAUUUCUUCUUCUGAAAAAAAAAAGGCAGUCUCCAAUCAAUUCAUUAAGAUAAUGAAACGGUUAGCCUUGGCCUAUGGUACUAAUUAGCGCUAAAACCAAAUCAAAUUUUUAACAGACUAUUUUCCCAUAUUCAAAUUAAUCCCUAACAAAAAUGUUAUGUACCUUGUAUAAUUAUACAAGUAAAAAAAUAGUAACAACCUUAAUUCCCCUGAAGAAAACCAAACACCACAAAUGUUUGAAAUUCUCUUUGAUGAUGAGUUGAAUCAUCACCCAGGCAACAUGGUAAUUUAAAGCACGGUUCUGCAUGCCAGAAACAUCUUAGAUUUUCUCUGAUAAGGGUACGGUGGAAGGAAUCUUCAUGUGGUUCACACAAGUUUCCAUCACCUCACCAGGUAUGGGAUAUGGUUGUUGAGGAUAAUAUAGAGGCUUUAACAGGCACCACCAUGCCCCUUCAACAAGUUGUAUGACCAUUCUAAUGUCCACAGAUGGAAGAGGAUGAGGUUUUGCAGAUAGGCUCCCAUGGCCAGAAAACUGUGGACCACAAGAUCAAUGCGACUCUUGGGUUCAAAUCAUAGGUACCAUUUCCAUAUACCUUCUUAAUAUCAUAGGUAUAUAUAUAUAUAUAUAUGAGUACAGGCUUGUAUAUCCCUACAAAUAUCUCUCAAAUACCUAUUCACAUGUGUCUGUCAGCAAAAGCUACGGCCAGAAUGGCCAGACAAUUAAUCUAUAUGCAAGAGCGAAAUCUACCAACAGAUACAAAUUCAGCACUCACCUU
rnacentral:lncRNA from 1 species